rnacentral:tRNA from 1 species
UGGCUCAAGUGGUAGAGUACCUGCUUUACAAGUUGGAGGCCCUGAGUUCAAAUCCCAG